rnacentral:rRNA from 1 species
CACGUAGUUGGCCGGUGCUUCUUCUGCAGGUACCGUCACUUGCGCUUCGUCCCUGCUGAAAGAGGUUUACAACCCGAAGGCCGUCAUCCCUCACGCGGCGUCGCUGCAUCAGGCUUGCGCCCAUUGUGCAAUAUUCCCCACUGCUGCCUCCCGUAGGAGUCUGGGCCGUGUCUCAGUCCCAGUGUGGCCGGUCGCCCUCUCAGGCCGGCUACCCGUCGUCGCCUUGGUAGGCCAUUACCCCACCAACAAGCUGAUAGGCCGCGGGCCCAUCCUGCACCGAUAAAUCUUUCCACCACACGGCAUGCACCGCGCAGUACUAUCCGGUAUUAGACCCAGUUUCCCGGGCUUAUCCCGAAGUGCAGGGCAGAUCACCCACGUGUUACUCACCCGUUCGCCACUCGUGUACCCCGAAGGGCCUUACCGUUCGACUUGCAUGUGUUAAGCACGCCGCCAGCGUUCGUCCUGAGCCAGGAUCAAACUCU